UACAGAGGGGGCAAGCGUUGUUCGGAAUUACUGGGCGUAAAGGGCGCGUAGGCGGCCUUCUAAGUCAGACGUGAAAUCCCCGGGCUCAACCCGGGAACUGCGUCUGAUACUGGAAGGCUUGAAUCCGGGAGAGGGAUGUGGAAUUCCAGGUGUAGCGGUGAAAUGCGUAGAUAUCUGGAGGAACACCGGUGGCGAAGGCGGCAUCCUGGACCGGCAUUGACGCUGAGGCGCGAAAGCCAGGGGAGCAAACGGGAUUAGAAACCCCAGUAGUCC
rnacentral:rRNA from 1 species